rnacentral:rRNA from 1 species
AGUGAGAAUGUUGGCAUGAGUAGCGAGAUGUGGGUGAGAAUCCCACAGGCCGUAAACCCAAGGUUUCCAGGGGAAGGUUCGUCCGCCCUGGGUUAGUCAGGACCUAAGCCGAGGCCGAAAGGCGUAGGUGAUGGACAACAGGUUGAUAUUCCUGUACCACCAAUAACCGUUUGAGAAAUGGGAUGACACAGAAGGAUAAGCUAACCGCACUGUUGGUUAUGUGCGGGCAAGUAUUGAGGCAGUUCUGAUAGGCAAAUCCGUUAGAAUAAUGCUAGGGUACGAUGCGGAGCGAAAUUUAGUAGCGAAGUAGCUGAUUUCACACUGUCGAGAAAAGUCUCUAUCGAGGUUAAAGGUGCCUGUACCGCAAACCGACACAGGUGGGUGAGGAGAGUAUCCUAAGGCCAGCCAGAGAACUGUUGUUAAGGAACUCGGCAAAAUGACCCCGUAACUUAGGGAGAAGGGGUGCCUUCGAAAGAAGGCCGCAGAGAAUAGGCCCAAGCGACUGUUUACCAAAAACAUAGGUUUCUGCUAAGUCGCAAGACGAUGUAUAGGAGCUGACGCCUGCCCGGUGCUGGAAGGUUAAGGGGAUCUGUUAGAGCAAUCGAAGCAGUGAACUUAAGCCCCAGUAAACGGCGGCCGUAACUAUAACGGUCCUAAGGUAGCGAAAUUCCUUGUCGGGUAAGUUCCGACCCGCACGAAAGGCGUAACGAUUUGGGCACUGUCUCAACAACAGACUCGGUGAAAUUGUAAUACCGGUGAAGAUGCCGGUUACCUGCGACAGGACGGAAAGACCCCAUGGAGCUUUACUGUAGCUUGACAUUGAGUCUCGGUGCUACAUGUACAGGAUAGGUGGGAGGCUAUGAAGCAUGGACGUCAGUUUGUGUGGAGCCAUCCUUGGGAUACCACCCUUGUAGUACUGGGAUUCUAACCAGCUGCCUUGAAUCAGGUAGUGGGACACUGUCAGGUGGACAGUUUGACUGGGGCGGUCGCCUCCCAAAAAGUAACGGAGGCGCUCAAAGGUUCUCUCAGUACGGUCGGAAAUCGUACGAAGAGUGUAAAGGCAAAAGAGAGCUUGAUUGCAAGACAUACAGGUCGAGCAAGGACGAAAGUCGGACUUAGUGAUCCGGUGGUACCGCAUGGAAGGGCCAUCGCUCAACGGAUAAAAGCUACCCUGGGGAUAACAGGCUGAUCUCCCCCAAGAGU